rnacentral:rRNA from 1 species
UACGGGGGGAGCAAGCGUUGUUCGGAAUUACUGGGCGUAAAGCGCACGUAGGCGGCUAUUUAAGUCAGGUUUGAAAUCCCAGAGCUCAACUCUGGAACUGCCUUUGAUACUGGGUAUCUUGAGUAUGGAAGAGGUUAGUGGAAUUGCGAGUGUAGAGGUGAAAUUCGUAGAUAUUCGCAGGAACACCAGUGGCGAAGGCGGCUAACUGGUACAUAACUGACGCUGAGGUGCGAAAGCGUGGGGAGCAAACAGG